rnacentral:lncRNA from 1 species
CCAUGAUUUAUCACAAAACAUGUCAAAAUCACUAUAAUUUCAUUUCAUUUCAGAAAACAACUAGCCAUUUACAACUUCUGAAUGGCAAAACACAACUAUAUUACGUUUAGAGUAACCAGAAUGGCCAGCUUCUCAAUGCUUACUUCAUCUAAAAUCACAAGCAAAUUCGAAACGAUUUGAAAAAAAUUACACCAACUUUUCUAUAGGUAAUUAGAAACUAGACAUCAGAGACUGGCAGUCGCUCUUCAAUAGAAACAUGGCAGAACACGUUUUGCACUUCUCACAGCAAGUGCUGAAAAAGAAACAACAUUAUUAAUAAUUAAAGAAAACAAGUUCCACAUCCUUUGAUAAGAAAUGAAAAUAUUACACACCAUAUGCCAAAAAUAUGUUAUGCCACUACAAGUCAUGUAAAUACCAUAAUAAUAUAUUUCUGAGUAUAUAUGAUGCCUAAGCCAAAGCUUUCACAGACAUACUUGCAUUAACCAAUCUUCCAAUACUGAGAAAACAACCAAAAUAGAAAAUAACAUUGUCAGUAUUACAAGGGUAGAUGCAAAUACUUGCAAAGAACAUGAUGUCUACAAGGAAGCAGAACUACCCUGAUUUGUUCCUCAAAGCAAACUCUACACAGAAACAUUUCCUAAGUGAUAGAUCCAUUCAAUUAAUAAGCAAGCAAUACAGUAUAUAUUAGCCAAACAAUUAGAAUAACUUGGUACCAACUUAAGCUUGGUGUUGAAAUAAUUAAGAUUUAGUCCCUUAUAGUCCUUGAAAUGCUUAAUGAGCAGAUUACCAAGUUUCAACAAAUUUUGGAGGACAAUCAACAGAGGAACCCUAACUCCUUAUGUUUCUAUACAUGCAUGUGUGUGAACCAUCAUCAUUAUAUAUUCUAGUUCCCUAACUUCCCCUUACAUAUGUAUCCAACAAUGUACAUACCAAAAGCAUCAAUUUCUUACAAUACAAAACAAAACCCAAUUAAGAAACUAAUUCAGUCAACCAGCCUAUGAUUGACCCAUAAUUCCAAAUGAAAAGCUGUUUAAAAACAAUAAUGGCAACUCAAAUGAGAAGAAUCUUUAGGACAAGAGAAAUAAUGAGUCAAACUGUAAAACAAAGGCACAAAUUCUUACUCGAGGAUCAAUCUGAGCCAAAACCCAAAAAAUACCAACCUGAAAUUGAAAUCCCAUGUUAUUGAGAUGAGCAACCUGAAAUCCCUUGCAAUAAACAAAAAUGGCUAUAAAAACCAAUCAAAAAACAAACAGAGAAGCAAAAAAAUAGAAAUGCAAUUUAAAAAAACAAGCUUAGAUUUCUAACUCUAAAUUGCCCUAAAACAAUCAAAUCAACCAAUCGGUCAAAAUUUUUUCGAAAAAUCAUUUUUUUCACAACUCCCUCCUAACGAAAUACAAGCAGAAAAGCAAAGAGAUGAAAUUCUCACAAUGAAAGUGAGAUUGAUGGAAAUAAUAACCUUACUCGUAUCAAAUUUAGAGAAGCUUUUUAGAAGCUUUUUACAAUGUCGAGAUAUAUGUCGAUGAUUGUUGCGGGAUGAGAAUAACCGAACAAGAACGAUAAGACAGGGCUUCAGGUAUGGUGGCCUGAUGUGUUUUGUGAGGGAGAGUGGUAAAGGGCAAUAAUGGGAAGUUAUGUUUUUUUCUUUAUUCAGUGGAGUUUAUAAUGUCCUAUUCUUUCGGUCUAGUGAAGAAUGACCAUUAGGGGAGAAGGUGGAAUAGGAGAUGAAUGAUGAUUUUGUUGAAUGAAGGAUUCGAUGAAUCAAACUAUUGAAUCAUUGUUUAUCAUCGAAUCAGACCAAAAUAAAUUGGUUAUUCAUGCCAAGCAAAAGUGUUGUAAAGGUUUAUUAU